rnacentral:pre_miRNA from 1 species
UUUCUACUCCCUCCGUCCGAAAAUACUUGUCAUCAAAAUGGAUAAAAAGAGAUGUAUCUAAAACUAAAAUACGUCUAGAUACAUUUCCUUUUAUCCAUUUUGAUGACAAGUAUUUCCGGACGGAGGGAGUAUUNN